rnacentral:rRNA from 1 species
GACGAACGCUGGCGGCGUGCCUAAUACAUGCCAGUAGAACGCUGAAGGAGGAGCUUGCUCUUCUGGAUGAGUUGCGAACGGGUGAGUAACGCGUAGGUAACCUGCCUGGUAGCGGGGGAUAACUAUUGGAAACGAUAGCUAAUACCGCAUAAGAGUAGAUGUUGCAUGACAUUUACUUAAAAGGUGCAAUUGCAUCACUACCAGAUGGACCUGCGUUGUAUUAGCUAGUUGGUGGGGUAACGGCUUACCAAGGCGACGAUACAUAGCCGACCUGAGAGGGUGAUCGGCCACACUGGGACUGAGACACGGCCCAGACUCCUACGGGAGGCAGCAGUAGGGAAUCUUCGGCAAUGGACGGAAGUCUGACCGAGCAACGCCGCGUGAGUGAAGAAGGUUUUCGGAUCGUAAAGCUCUGUUGUAAGAGAAGAACGAGUGUGAGAGUGGAAAGUUCACACUGUGACGGUAGCUUACCAGAAAGGGACGGCUAACUACGUG